CACGUAGGGCGCGAGCGUUGUCCGGAAUUAUUGGGCGUAAAGAGCUCGUAGGCGGCCUGUUGCGUCCGCUGUGAAAGCCCGGGGCUUAACCCCGGGUCGGCAGUGGAUACGGGCAGGCUAGAGGUAGGUAGGGGAGAAUGGAAUUCCGGGUGUAGCGGUGGAAUGCGUAGAGAUCCGGAAGAACACCGGUGGCGAAGGCGGUUAGCUGGGCAGUUGCUGACACUGAGGCGCGACAGCGUGGGGAGCAAACAGG
rnacentral:rRNA from 1 species